rnacentral:lncRNA from 1 species
UACCCAAACUCAUAGUCAUAUGUGAUAUAAAUGCACAUAGCAUCAUUUUUAGGGUUUGAAGUGCACCAGCAUUUUAGUGUUUCUUCAACCUACACUUCUAGAGUUUUCUCCCAAAACUCAAACCCUAAUCCCAUACCCAGCAAACACUUUCUUCAGCCACAUCCAAAUCUCGCAACUCUUUCACAACACCAUCGAAAAACCUCCACAAAUUCAAAUUGACUUAUAGAUCUAGAACUUACAAAUCUGGCCUAUUCAGUGUCUAGAAAAACAGGGGAAAUUUCUCACUGUUACAGAUCUAGAACACAAUCUACAUCUAAAAGUGAUUCCUCCUUCAGAAACGUUUGAGCACGGGAUUAAGUUUGAUGAUUCGUGAAGCAAAGAACCUCAAACGCCAAAGCAUCUUCAUAUCAGAAAAUUUAUGAGUAAAAAGGUAUGAAUACCCCAAUUUUUUACACCACUAUUUCAAAAUUAUCUAACCCCAAAAUCGUUAUUAGGUACCCAGUUCAAUUGACAAUGCAAAAGAACCUUAUUUCACAAAGCACGAAUUACCUAUGGCGUUGCUUUCCAUUACGAUUUCAGGUAGUAAUUUUAUACCACAAUAUUUGUCUAAAUUGUAUUGCCAGAAAUUCCAUACAUACUAACUAAAUCUACUUUCGUACAGUUAAAUUUCUAUCUUCGCACCAAUAAUAAGAUAAAAGAUAAGUCUGUACUUAAGGUGUUUGUUGUAUAUUUUGGGAUUUAUUUAUGAAAUUUGUUACUAACACUACAACUUGUGCGUUUUUUGUUACAGAAAUCUGAAAAUAUUGAUACACCAGGCACAAACUUGAACAUCUACGAAAGGUUAUUAUGCAGAAGAAAACCAAUAUCAAGAUAAGAAUUCAUCUUCAUAGAGUAUACAUACAGAUAAAAAUAUAAUAAAUACCUGUACAUUUUUCAUCUGCAUUUAAUUUCACGCCACUAAUCUUCACUGAUUUUGUGAGUUUUCUCAUUUGAAAUCACCUGGUAAAAUAUUUGAAAUAAUUAGUAAAUGAUUAAUGUAAAAAAGCUUCAGUAAGAAAAACUCCUAUAAACUAAAUGUGAAAAAUACUAUAGUAACUUUCAUAAAAAUAUGGAAAAUUAUAAAAACUUAAGCUUUACUGUUCUUCAAUAAGCUUCUGAUAAAUGGUAAAACUACAACUGUAAGUGAAUCUGCAGAUUUGAUAAAAUGAGCAAUUAUUAAAUAUGCAGAUUUACAUAUCCAUUGGUUAUUAACCACCAAGUAUUUUAAUUUCACUAAAAGUACACAUNUAAAAACUUAAGACUUUACUGUUCUUCAAUAAUGGAAGCUUCUGAUAAAUGGUAAAACUACAACUGUAAGUGAAUCUGCAGAUUUGAUAAAAUGAGCAAUUAUUAAAUAUGCAGAUUUACAUAUCCAUUGGUUAUUAACCACCAAGUAUUUUAAUUUCACUAAAAGUACACAUAAAAGCUACUGACAAUCUGUUCCUAGGAAAUAACAACAGAAUUAAAACUUUUCCCUAAUCACAUUUUACAACAUCAGACUUAUAGUAAAUUUUAGUUUUUUUUAGUAUACCUCCUUUAGUAUUAUAGUAACACGAAUAAAUUUAAAUAUUUCAUAUCGCAAAUGCUGAUUUUUCCUUCAAUAUAAAAUGAUUUUACAUAAUUACAUUAUUCCCAUAUAUAUCGGGUGAGCAAGAACCGAACCGAACCGAAAAAACCGACCGAACCGAUCAUUUUUUGUUCGGUUCGGUUUGUACCAUUGACGGUCAGUUUUCGGUUCGGUUUUAAUAUCCCAAAACCGAUGACAUUUCGGUUCGGUUUCGGUUUUCCUAUCCAGGGUCGGUUCAAAACCGAACCGAUACAUACAUACAUAUAUAUAUAUAUAUAUAAUAUUAAAUACAAUGAAAGCAAAUAAAAAUAUGAAAUUCUUAAUAGAAAUCUAAAUUCCCUAUAACCUAGCCCACGACAACAAACCUCAAUUCCCCUCAUCCCACCCACCCCACCUACAACUGCGGCGCCUCUGCCCACCUCCUCUCUCUCUUCGCCGCCUCCGGCGCAGCCACCACACUGUCGCGGCACCGGCGCGGCGCGCCAACAGCAGCCCACGCCCUACAGCCCUGCGUGCACCAGCACCAGCAGCAGGCAGCAACCCCGUCUUCUCCCCUGUUCCACCUCCCCAUCUCCCCCACGGCCGCCGCCAGCCGACGUCGGUCCAGUAGGAGCAGCAGCCGAUUCCUCUCCUGGCAGAAUGUAUUUUUAAUUCUCCCAUGCGAUUAAUUCCUCUAUGAAUCUGAAAGUUUAGUAUUUUGGUUUUGAAUUGGCUAUCUUAGUUUCUUCUUUUUUGUAAAUAAAUUGAAUUUCUUCUACUUUAUCCGUAAUUUUUAAGGUUUCUUAAAAGUGUUGUCCUUUUACUUUGAGUUUUAAAUCAGAUGAUAUUAUUUUAGAAUGUUAAUAAAAUUUGAUUGAUAGUAUAUCUGUAAGUCUUCAUUUUAUUGAUUUUUUUGAAAAAAAGGAAAAAAAUAAUGGUUGUUCGGUUCGGUAACCGACCGAAACCGAUCGGUUUUCACCGGUUCGGUUUUGAUCGGUUUUACAUAUUAAGUCAGUCGGUUUGGU